UACGUAGGAUGCUAGCGUUGUCCGGAUUUACUGGGCGUAAAGCGCGCGCAGGCGGCACUGUAAGUAAGGUGUGAAAUAUCCCUGCUCAACGGGGAGGGUGCACUUUAGACUGCAGAGCUAGAGGACGGUAGAGGGGGGUGGAAUUGCUGGUGUAGCGGUGAAAUGCGUAGAGAUCAGCAGGAACACCCGUGGCGAAGGCGGCCCCCUGGGCCGAACCUGACGCUGAGGCGCGAAAGCGUGGGUAGCAAACGGG
rnacentral:rRNA from 1 species